rnacentral:lncRNA from 1 species
GGCGUUGAGAUGGUUCAGGGCCCUGUUCAAACUCCAGCACUGACCAUUCACCGGCGGAAGCGGCGGCGCAGGAGGCGGCGGCGGCCCAGCGGGGGCACACAGCAGGCUCUGUUACCAGCUCCAGCAGUGGCGGCCAGCGAGAGCGGAGGCGGCCCGUGGCCAAAGCACCCGCCAGGCUCCGAGAGAAUAUGAAACUGGUGUCAAAAUGACAUCCAGAUUUGGGAAAACAUACAGUAGGAAAGGUGGAAAUGGCAGUUCAAAAUUCGAUGAAGUCUUUUCCAACAAACGGACUACCCUUAGCACAAA